rnacentral:lncRNA from 1 species
UGCAGGAGCUGGUGGGGCGGCUUAAGCGAGGGCGGGAGCAGGAGUAGCUGCAUUGGCUUAGGGAGCAACUUUGAGAUAGAAUUUAAAGUUAGGAUUUAUGAGGUAGUUUGGACAUUGUAUCUUCAUAGUUAAUCUCGGCAUGGAUUUAUAGUUUUCUUCCAUCUUUUCCUCAAUUGCACCCUCAAACUUAGGUUUCUUGCAUGAACGUAGUCCAUAUAAGCGAUAAAAGGUUGUGUAUCGCACAAGUCCUAAGCUUUUUAAUGGUUUAAUGGCAGGCCAUGUAUCAGCAAUUGAGGUUGGAGCCAUACGCAGUGCAUACCAAAGUUUGUGGUUCUUGUUUGUUGUUACACACCAAAGUUUCCAGCUUUAAACAUUGUGGCACCUUUGUAUAUCAUUUCUUCAUAUUUUCAUUUCCUCAUAUUAGCAUUCUGGAGUUUGCAUAAGAGUUGAUUGAGCUAUUGGCAGACCCCAAUAUGAAAGUUAAAAAAAA